GUAGGUGGCAAGCGUUGUCCGGAAUUAUUGGGGCGUAAAGCGCGCGCAGGCGGUUCUUUAAGUCUGAUGUGAAAGCCCACGGGCUCAACCGUGGAGGGUCAUUGGAAACUGGAGAACUUGAGUACAGGAGAGGAAAGCGGAAUUCCACGUGUAGCGGUGAAAUGCGUAGAGAUGUGGAGGAACACCAGUGGCGAAGGCGGCUUUCUGGUCUGUAACUGACGCUGAGGCGCGAAAGCGUGGGGAGCAAACAGGAUUAGAUACCCUGGUAGUCCACGCCGUAAACGAUGAGUGCUAAGUGUUAGGGGGUUUCCGCCCCUUAGUGCUGCAGCUAACGCAUUAAGCACUCCGCCUGGGGAGUACGGCCGCAAAGGCUGA
rnacentral:rRNA from 1 species